GUAGUUUUGCUUCCUUUAUUGCUCCUAGCUGGACCCUGGACAUCAGUCAUCAACUUGCAGUGUCUUGGGUCAUCAAUGGACCUUGUUUUCAGCAUACAACUUGGAUGCAGCCGCUGUGCUUGCUGAACCUAUUCACCCAGCAAUGAAUACUCCAGAUGACCUCAAUCUUAAAGGCUCUCCAGGAGAAAGAAGACCAAAAUGGCAUGACUGUAACCUGAUCUGAAAGGCAAGGUCUCUCUGUGCUUGUAAACAAGGAAAGGGAUAAUGAGAGAAAUCCAAGAAUGUGUGAAAGCCCAAGUGCCUACUUAAACUCCGAACAAUAACAAAUGAAGGUACAUAAUACCAUUUUCCAAGUACUGAGUCUUUUUUUACAGAUUGAUCUCUCAUUUUAAUCCCCCUUAGAUUUUUCUAAGUGCUCUAGAUAAUCUGAUAUAGUAAACACCUUUCCUUUAAAAACAAGGUGACACUGCAGCCAUUUUAUCACUGCCCUAUAAAUUCAAUUUUCUACAGAAUCCAAUAAAAAUAUUUUCCAAUAAUUAUUUUCCUUAGGG
rnacentral:lncRNA from 1 species